rnacentral:lncRNA from 1 species
AGAGAUCGUCAGUCGACGGAUCCGACGUUCCCGAAAUUCGCGACGGUGAAGAAUAGAAAGAAAAUUUUCACUGCAUCAUCUUUCCCGGCAGAUUUGGUUUUCUUGUUUAAUCUCAGCGUUUGUCACUUCGCCAGGUGGCUUGGAAAGUCCGCCGUCGAUCCGAGCGCGAAUGACGGCCAGAAGUUCCCCAUUCCCAUGUGCUCUGCAAAGCACGAUCCUUCCAGAGAUUGCGACUGAUCAUUGGACAGGGAACCUGGAGAUUAUUGAAGAUGAUCGUUAGGGUUGAAUUUCUCAGCGAUCUUCUUUCAGGUCUUCUGGUAGAGUCACCGAGCGAGGUAGAUCCUCCAGCACGUAUCUACGUAUCCACCUUCACUCGGUGUUUUUUUAUUUAUAGUCACAUCCGUCAUUAUUAUCGGCGUUUAAAUCAGACAGAUAUUCCGAUCCCUCCCCCCUCAAAUCCUACGCCAAUUUCGUCGUUUUGGCAUUCGAAUCUGCGUCCGGCACGUUCUUCCACCCGAUUGCUUCCCCAUGCAUGUGGAUCCGCUCCCAAGUCACCGCCGUGGUCAGGGACCAUUCGAGAUCCAAACCAGGAGAACUCCGCGACUGGUAGAAAAAACUUCACAGAUCAAUGAUGCCGAGAUCAUUCGACAAGAGAGAGGGAUGUAUUUCUGACCCCCCGUUCCCUUGGUUUUUUUAGAAGAAAAAGAAUCACAAAUGAGGACGGAAAGUAGCCGGGGUCUGUCUGUUUUCACCGCUCUGUACCUCGUCUUAACGGCAGUAUAUUGUGUAUACACAGGGAGGAUGGAGGAAGAUCUCUACGGCCGUCGAUCAACAGCCCAAAUCCCUCUGGAUGGAGACUUGCCGUCCAUCUUGACGACCUUUGGCCGGGGUCCUCUGUGCCGGCGAGCUUGAUCAUCGAAGGAGACGCUCCUCCUGAUGUCGACCUUGACGACGUGGUGGUCCGAGGUGCCCUUGGAGGAGAAGACGGAGUACGAUCCUGGCAUGAAUUCGAACGGCGAGCUAGGGGAGCUCAGGAUGUAGUCCACGCGGGUGCCAUACUUGCAGGUUCCCUGUACGUCUGCGAGCAGGGGAAGAAAGAGGAAUCAGCCCUCCGCCGGGAAGGAGACGACAGGCCGGAAGGGGCGGGAGGAGGCGGCGGGCUCACCUUGGCCCUUGGCCAGGACCACAAUGGCCUCGCAUUCUCCCGCAAAAUCCUUGGCGUCCACGUAGCUCUUCU